UAACACGUGAGUAACCUGCCCCUGACUCUGGGAUAAGCCCGGGAAACUGGGUCUAAUACCGGAUACGACACCUCCUGGCAUCGGGUGGGUGUGGAAAGUUUUUUCGGUUGGGGAUGGACUCGCGGCCUAUCAGCUUGUUGGUGGGGUAACGGCCUACCAAGGCGACGACGGGUAGCCGGCCUGAGAGGGCGACCGGCCACACUGGGACUGAGACACGGCCCAGACUCCUACGGGAGGCAGCAGUGGGGAAUAUUGCGCAAUGGGCGAAAGCCUGACGCAGCGACGCCGCGUGGGGGAUGACGGCCUUCGGGUUGUAAACCUCUUUCAGCAGGGACGAAGUUGACGUGUACCUGCAGAAGAAGCGCCGGCUAACUACGUGCCAGCAGCCGCGGUAAUACGUAGGGCGCAAGCGUUGUCCGGAAUUAUUGGGCGUAAAGAGCUCGUAGGUGGCUUGUCACGUCGGGUGUGAA
rnacentral:rRNA from 1 species